rnacentral:rRNA from 1 species
GAUGAACGCUGGCGGCGUGCCUAAUACAUGCAAGUCGAGCGAACGGACGAGAAGCUUGCUUUUCUGAUGUUAGCGGCGGACGGGUGAGUAACCCGUGGAUAACCUACCUAUAAGACUGGGAUAACUUCGGGAAACCGGAGCUAAUACCGGAUAAUAUUUUGAACCGCAUGGUUCAAAAGUGAAAGACGGUCUUGCUGUCACUUAUAGAUGGAUCCGCGCUGCAUUAGCUAGUUGGUAAGGUAACGGCUUACCAAGGCAACGAUGCAUAGCCGACCUGAGAGGGUGAUCGGCCACACUGGAACUGAGACACGGUCCAGACUCCUACGGGAGGCAGCAGUAGGGAAUCUUCCGCAAUGGGCGAAAGCCUGACGGAGCAACGCCGCGUGAGUGAUGAAGGUCUUCGGAUCGUAAAACUCUGUUAUUAGGGAAGAACAUAUGUGUAAGUAACUGUGCACAUCUUGACGGUACCUAAUCAGAAAGCCACGGCUAACUACGUG